UCGGUGACGAAGCGCGCUUUGGACUGGAGGAAGGCCAGGAUGCGGGCGUACUUGGUGUCUUUGGUCUCCAUCCUCUCCACCGUCGUCAGGAAGUCGUCAAAUAUCUCUUGGUGCUUGUGGUGGCAGAGAGGACUUCCAGGUCAGUAGUGCUCCUGAGUGCUGCUAUGUGCUUGUUGUAUUCCACCUCUGAGGAGGCACAUUUCAGAGUAAGUACGUUUUGUAGCAUAAUUUCAAUAUAACACACUUUGUUCUUCAGGAUUAAAAGCCUUUCAUAAAUGUAAAAUCUGAUCCAGUUUGCUUUUGGAUUACUUUGGUUUGUAUGGACACCAGUUAGAGUGUUGUUUCAUGAAGACUCACUUUCUGUAAUUUUACACCUUUUGGCCUUACUGAUUUGAACACAUGUUGCAAUCUGCAGCCCGCGUGUCAGCCUCAGCAUCAUUACGCUGUGGAUGACUGUGGCAGCAGAAGAGGAAGAUUAAAAAUGGGACACUUAAAAAAGGUCCCACUCUUUUUAAGGACUUAACGGAAGUUUCGGUGGAUGCACAGAUUACCUCAAAAUGCAUAAAACCACCCACUCAGCAGCCUGCCUUGGUCAUCCCCCAAAUGAUCCAUCCCCAAGGUCACACAGAGGUGGCUGUUGCCUUGCCUGCAGUCUCAUUCUUUUGCCGCCGAACUGACCAUGAUCUUUUAUUGACCGUCUUUCUGGAGCAGUCCUGUUUGGCAGUCUGUCUGACAGCACCGUGCAAUCUGACAGGGUAUCUCCUGUGACAAAGCGUUAGAAGAGAGAACUGCUGGAUGGCACCUGCAGAAACCAGGGCUUCAAAAGAAGCUGAUUUACAUUGACAGAAGACCUGACACAGCUUUUAGCUGUCAAAUGUUUGUGUAUAUAUGGCAAAACUUGAGACCGUGCACUGUGUGUUUGUACAAGGGCCAAGAGAUGGAUACAGCCAGAAAGGGAGGUCUGGGACAUGCAGCUGAGAGGCACUGUUCUGUUCGC